rnacentral:lncRNA from 1 species
GGGGCCUGGGGUUGGAAACGACCUCACUCGCAGCCUUUAGUGUGAUUAAAAUGUUCUUCACAUUCAUAAGUUGUAUUUUAUAUAACUCCAAAGUUAGAGGGCCAAUCAAGUUUUAAGAAUACAUUCAAAAGGAAAAACGAAAGUAGAUGCCCGUUGGAGCGUUAAUACAGAGGCAGCAUGGAUGGACGUCAGUGGUGUGACGGCCUUACAGGGCUGUCGAGGUCCCUUGUUCCUGUCUCUGCCAGCCUACUUGAUGCUGUGUGGCCAGUGCUGAGCACAGCCAGGGGUUGCCUCCCACCCCCAGCAGCAACAGGAAGCUUAUGGCUUGAUGGAAGAGCAACUCUAGAGUACC